AUGCCUGCCUCCAGUUCUUCCAGCAGGAACCGCCGGAGCACCCAGGAAAGGGUGUUAGCACAAACAACCCUUGAUGCUCAACUCAAUGCUGAGUUUGAAGAAUCUAGUGACUCCUUCGACUACUCCAAGCUGGUCGAAGCCCAGCGGGACACUCCAACCGUGCUGCAGGAAGGGCGGUCGGAGAAAGUCAUAGCCUACUUGCAGCACAUUCAGAGAGGGAAGAUGAUCCAGUCGUUUGGUUGCUUGUUGGCCCUUGAUGAGAAGAGCUUCAAUGUCAUCGCGUUCAGCGAAAACGCGCCAGAAAUGCUUACAACUGUCAGCCAUGCAGUGCCCAGUGUCAACGAUCCCCCAAGGCUCGACAUCGGCACCAAUGUACGGUCUCUGUUCACUGACCAGGGUGCCACGGCUCUGCACAAGGCACUAGGGUUUGCUGAUGUUUCUUUGCUGAAUCCUAUCCUGGUUCAGUGCAAGACCUCAGGCAAGCCUUUCUAUGCCAUUGUUCACCGAGCAACCGGCUGUUUGGUGGUAGACUUUGAGCCUGUAAACCCCACAGAAUUUCCUGCCUCUGCUGCUGGGGCCUUGCAGUCUUACAAGCUUGCUGCCAAGGCAAUCUCCAAGAUCCAGGCACUGCCAGGUGGAAGCAUAGAGCUGCUAUGCAAUACUGUGGUCAAGGAAGUCUUUGAACUUACAGGGUAUGAUAGGGUUAUGGCUUACAAGUUCCAUGAAGAUAACCAUGGCGAGGUCUUUGCCGAGAUCACAAAGCCUGGCCUUGAGCCUUAUCUGGGCCUGCACUAUCCAGCCACUGAUAUCCCUCAAGCGGCCAGGUUCCUUUUCAUGAAGAACAAAGUGCGGAUGAUUUGCGAUGUCCGCUCAAGAUCCAUAAAGGUCAUCGAAGAUGAGGCACUCCCCUUUGAUAUUAGCUUGUGUGGUUCAGCGCUCAGGGCAGCACACAGCUGUCACCUUCAGUAUAUGGAGAACAUGAACUCGAUUGCAUCCCUUGUCAUGGCUGUUGUGGUUAAUGAGAAUGAAGAGGAUGACGAGGUCGGGUCUGAACAACCAGCACAGCAGCAGAAGAAGAAGAUACUGUGGGGCCUUGUUGUUUGCCACCAUGAGAGCCCCAGAUAUGUCCCUUUUCCGCUGCGCUAUGCUUGUGAGUUCUUAGCACAGGUGUUUGCUGUCCAUGUCAACAAGGAGUUUGAAGUGCAGAAACAAUUACGCGAAAAAAGCAUACUGAGGACGCAAACAAUUCUCUCCGACAUGCUGUUCAAGGAAGCCUCCCCCCUGACUAUCGUAUCAGGGGCACCCAAUAUCAUGGACCUAAUCAAAUGUGACGGUGCUGCUCUUCUGUAUGGGGACAAAGUAUGGCGUCUGGGCAAUGCUCCAACCGAGUCUCAGAUACGUGAUCUUGCCUUGUGGCUGUCGGAAGUUCACAUGGACUCCACUGGCCUGAGUACUGAGAGCCUCCAUGAUGCUGGCUACCCAGGAGCCUCUGCUCUUGGUGAUUCGGUUUGUGGGAUGGCAGUGGCUAAGAUCAAUUCCAGUGAUAUUCUUUUUUGGUUCAGGUCACAUACAGCUCAAGAAAUCAGAUGGGGAGGUGCAAAGAAUGACCCAUCGGACCAGGAUGACAGCAGAAGGAUGCACCCCAGGUUGUCUUUCAAGGCAUUCCUUGAAGUUGUCAAGAUGAAGAGCUUGGCUUGGACUGAUUCUGAGAUGGAUGCUAUUCAUUCAUUGCAACUUAUACUUCGAGGGACGGUGGAUGGUGUCGUCAAGCCAACCGGAAAAGCUAGCUUAGAUGAACAGAUUGGUGAUCUAAAGCUUGAUGGGCUUGCUGAAUUGCAGGCAGUGACCAGUGAAAUGGUUCGUCUAAUGGAAACAGCAACUGUUCCAAUCUUGGCGGUAGAUGGCAAUGGAUUGGUCAACGGGUGGAACCAGAAAGCGGCAGAAUUGACUGGGCUAAGGGUUGAUGAUGCCAUAGGAAGGCACAUACUUACCCUUGUGGAGGAAUCUUCUGUAUCAGUUGUCCAGAGGAUGCUAUAUCUAGCUUUGCAGGGCAAAGAAGAGAAAGAAGUUCGAUUUGAGGUAAAGACUCAUGGCCCAAAGAGAGAUGAUGGCCCUGUUAUCUUGGUUGUGAAUGCUUGUGCCAGCCGGGACCUUCAUGAUGAUGUUGUUGGGGUGUGCUUUGUAGCCCAAGAUGUGACUGUCCAUAAGUUGGUGAUGGACAAGUUUACUCGGGUUGAGGGAGACUACAUGGCGAUCAUUCACAACCCGAACCCACUCAUUCCUCCUAUAUUUGGUGCUGAUGAAUUUGGAUGGUGUUGUGAGUGGAAUGCUGCAAUGACCAAGCUGACUGGGUGGCACAGAGAGGAAGUGCUCAAUAAGAUGCUUCUCGGUGAAGUGUUCGACAGUAGCAAUGCCUCCUGCCUUUUGAAGAACAAAGAUGCAUUUGUAAGCCUUUGUGUUGUUAUCAACAGCGCGUUAGCCGGCGAAGAAACGGAAAAGGCUCCAUUUGGCUUCUUCGACCGAAGCGGGAAGUACACUGAUUGCCUUCUGUCAGUGAACAGAAGGGAAAAUGAGGGUGGUCUCAUCACUGGGGUAUUCUGUUUUAUUCAUAUUCCUAGUCAUGAGCUGCAACAAGCACUGCAGGUGCAGCAAGCCUAG
rnacentral:rRNA from 1 species